UUAUUUGAGAGUUUGAUCCUGGCUCAGGAUGAACGCUGGCGGCGUGCCUAACACAUGCAAGUUGAGCGAUUUACUUCGGUAAAGAGCGGCGGACGGGUGAGUAACGCGUGGGUAACCUACCCUGUACACACGGAUAACAUACCGAAAGGUAUGCUAAUACGGGAUAACAUAUUUGAGAGGCAUCUCUUGAAUAUCAAAGGUGAGCCAGUACAGGAUGGACCCGCGUCUGAUUAGCUAGUUGGUAAGGUAACGGCUUACCAAGGCGACGAUCAGUAGCCGACCUGAGAGGGUGAUCGGCCACAUUGGAACUGAGACA
rnacentral:rRNA from 4 species